UACAGAGGGUGCGAGCGUUAGUCGGAAUUACUGGGCGUAAAGCGCACGUAGGUGGCGACGUAAGUCGGGUGUGAAAGCCCCGGGCUCAACCUGGGAAUUGCAUUCGAGACUGCAUUGCUGGAGUACGGAAGAGGAGGGCGGAAUUCCCGGUGUAGCGGUGAAAUGCGUAGAUAUCGGGAGGAACAUCAGUGGCGAAGGCGGCCCUCUGGUCCAGUACUGACACUCAAGUGCGAAAGCGUGGGGAGCAAACAGG
rnacentral:rRNA from 1 species